GGCAAGGUGGCCGAGUGGUUAAGGCGCUAGUUUUAGGCACUAGUGGGAAACCUCGCGAGUUCGAAUCUCGUCCUUGUCA